rnacentral:rRNA from 1 species
GAAUACGUUCCCGGGUCUUGUACACACCGCCCGUCAAAUCAUGGGAGUCGGAAGUACCCAAAGUCGCUUGGCUAACUUUUAGAGGCCGGUGCCUAAGGUAAAAUCGAUGACUGGGAUUAAGUCGUAACAAGGUAGCCGUAGGAGAACCUGCGGCUGGAUCACCUCCUUUCUAAGGA